rnacentral:lncRNA from 1 species
UGAAAUCCACCAGGUGUCACCAGGCAGCAUCCAGGCAACAGGCCUGGAAGAUUCCCAACACCCAACUGGACAUGCUCAGACACUCUGGGGCUCGUCUUUCAAUGGGACAAACUGCAGGACCCACUGAGGGAAACGGGAACAUACCAGGCUGAGCAGUAUAGCUAAAUCCAUUUAUUCCCAAAUAAAAAGCAAAGAAAACAGGAGUCCCAUCACCGGGGAGCCAUGACUCCAUCCCCGCCUCCUUCCUCGCUCCUAUGCUAGCAAUAAAUAAGUUUCCCAGCUGCAAAUAAUUCUAAGAACCUCUUCCUCAUUUGCCAGCUGCAACCUCUACUAGGUACGAUACAUACAGAAUGUUACACAGAUACAGAUGUACAUGGGGGAAGGGCGGGUCACCCCCGGCAGCCUGUGCCCUCGCCUGGUCUACAGUUAGCUCCACUGUCCUGCCUCAGCUGCCUCUCUGAGUAAGAAGAUGGGAGCCCCCCUGAGGGAAAAGUAAGGAGGCCAUCACACCUCCUCCAAACAAACCAACUCCAUCAACCUCUGGUUCUUAAAUAACAAACAUCAUCAUCCAGAAAUCAAAUUGAGAGCUGCCUUAUACUGAAUGAGGAAGAGAACAAAUACUUGGCUGAAUGAGCUCUUAGAUGAUGGUUAUGUUUAUCUCCCUGAUCUCGGAACCAUGAAAAGAAUGGCAUGCAGGGGUUGCUGCCCAAGCCUUGGUGCUCCUGGGGAGUCCUGCGUCAGAGGAAGCAGCUGCACGAUCUGCUGUGCAGUGGGGUUGU